rnacentral:lncRNA from 1 species
GUAGUGUACUGGCUGUUCUGUAUUCUACAGGGCUCAUCAGGAUUCGUCCUGAACGCCCCCAACAUCACAAGCCUCUCACAUACACCAGCAGACCCGCAACACUUCCUCACACACUACCAAAGCAAGUUUUGUGAUAAAUCAUCAGUGGUGCAGCAGAGAUCAGAAUGGGUGAGAGGAGGCAUACAGAGACAAAGAGAAUGCGGGUACAGUGGACGAGACACAGAUAGGUUUAAUCUUAGUGGAUUUAAUGUCCUA